UGUGUAGGCGGGACUGCAAGUCAGAUGUGAAAUUCCAGGGCUUAACCUUGGGGCUGCAUUUGAUACGUGUAGACUAGAGUGUGAGAGAGGGUUGUGGAAUUCCCAGUGUAGAGGUGAAAUUCGUAGAUAUUGGGAAGAACACCGGUGGCGAAGGCGGCAACCUGGCUCAUUACUGACGCUGAGGCGCGAAAGCGUGGGGAGCAAACAGGAUUAGAUACCCUCGUA
rnacentral:rRNA from 1 species